rnacentral:rRNA from 1 species
CCUACGGGGGGCUGCAGUGGGGAAUUUUGGACAAUGGGGGCAACCCUGAUCCAGCCAUGCCGCGUGCGGGAAGAAGGCCUUCGGGUUGUAAACCGCUUUCGGCCGGAACGAAAUCGCCGGGGCGAACAUCCCCGGUGGAUGCCGGUACCGGAAGAAGAAGCACCGGCUAACUACGUGCCAGCAGCCGCGGUAAUACGUAGGGUGCGAGCGUUAAUCGGGCUUACUGGGCGGAAAGGGUAAGCCAGCUGUGAAAUCCCCGGGCUUAACCUGGGAACUGCGGGUGUGACUGGCGGGCUGGAGUGCGGAAGAGGGAGGUGGAAUUCCACGUGUAGCAGUGAAAUGCGUAGAGAUGUGGAGGAACACCGAUGGCGAAGGCAGCCUCCUGGUCUAGCACUGACGCUCAUGCACGAAAGCGUGGGGAGCAAACAGGAUUAGAUACCCCAGUAGUC